UGUCGGGAGUCUUUUUAGAGGCCGGGGGUGUUUGGUAGGAACUCUCCAUCUCCGUUGGGAUGAAGUCCUUUAGGUCUUUGGUGCGGUUUGUCCUUCAUCUGUUUCCGUCGUAGUUCGUCGCCCUUCCUUUUUAAUUUUCCUCCUCUUCUCCGAGUGAGGGCCCUCCCCUCGCUUUUUGCGAGGUCGCAUAGGAGCGUGGGGGUGCCGCUAAGGGGAUUUUUUCCUUCAUCCGAUCUUGUUGGGUGGCCGGGUUUCAUCACCAUCAAGAUGAGGUUCCCC
rnacentral:lncRNA from 1 species